CUCGAACCUUCGGCCUCGGACGUGCAAUGAUCAGCUCUCGAGUUCUCUCAAAGCUCUCCUCCGUUUGCAUAAGCCUUUGUAAACACAAUAAACAUCUUCUAUUU